AGCGUAGACGGACUGGCAAGUCUGAUGUGAAAGACGGGGGCUCAACCCCUGGACUGCAUUGGAAACUGUUGGUCUUGAGUGCCGGAGAGGUAAGCGGAAUUCCUAGUGUAGCGGUGAAAUGCGUAGAUAUUAGGAGGAACACCAGUGGCGAAGGCGGCUUACUGGACGGUAACUGACGUUGAGGCUCGAAAGCGUGGGAGCAAACA
rnacentral:rRNA from 1 species